AAAUUUAAUAAUAAAAUAACUUAUAUCUUACAAAUGAAUUUUACAGAUUAUCAGUCAUUUUAUUAUUCUAUGCGACGAAACUGCAAAAUUAUAGAAGAAAAAUCUAUAAUCUAUAAAUUCUAACUGAUCAGUUUACUAAUAUUAUUCAAUAAAAUAUCGUGAAAUCAUCGACCAUAGUCAAAAUUGAGGUUCCCCUUACAAUUAUGCUGAUUCUAUACAAUUUCCUUGUUAUUGUACUUGUUACUAUCAAAUAUUAUACUGUUAAAUUCUUUCUAUUUUGUUUGUAUCGUUUUGUUGCAGAAUUGUUUGUAUAAUUCUGAUAAUUGAUUUCAUUAAUUACAUAGGAAGGAGAGACAGGAGGAAAGACAGAAGUUAGGGUUACGAGAGUGUAGAAACACGUUUGAAAGGAAAGUAAAAGUAAAAAUUAUAAGUACCAUGGACAACGAACGACCUCGAAUGCCCGAAAUUUCUGGCCUCUAUACUAUCGCGAUACGGUUCUCAGGAGCGUUCUUGUUGGUCAUGAAAACAAGAUUUCCUUGUCUUCCACCUUCGCUUUGGAAGAAAGAACGCGUAUGGUACCUUCGAGUUGGAUGAAACAUUGUAGGCUCGAAGAACAUCCAGCCAAAAAUAUUAGAUACGUAUCUUUUGUUUUCUGUUUUCUAGCUGCAGUAACUCAAGUUUAAAGGGUAAAACCACCCUUCAAAUUUCGACCCUUUGAAAGCCAACUCGGAAAAAGUUA